AGAGUUUGAUCAUGGCUCAGAACGAACGCUGGCGGCGUGCCUAACACAUGCAAGUCGAACGCGAACGUCUUCUUCGGAGGACAAGUAGAGUGGCGCACGGGUGAGUAACGCGUAAGUAAUCUGUCCUGGCAUCUGGGAUAACCUAUCGAAAGGUGAGCUAAUACCGGAUACGUCCUGCGGGAGAAAGACCGCCUCUGUUGUAAGCGGUUGUGCGAGGAGGAGCUUGCGUACCAUUAGCUGGUUGGUGGGGUAACGGCCUACCAAGGCGACGAUGGUUAGCGGGUCUGAGAGGAUGAUCCGCCACACUGGAACUGAAACACGGACCAGACUCCUACGGGAGGCAGCAGUGAGGAAUAUUGCGCAAUGGGGGCAACCCUGACGCAGCGACGCCGCGUGGAUGAUGAAGGCCUUCGGGUUGUAAAAUCCUGUCAGAUGGGAAGAAGUGUACGAUGGUUAAGAGCUGUCGUAUUUGACGGUACCAUCAAAGGAAGCACCGGCUAACUCCGUGCCAGCAGCCGCGGUAAUACGGAGGGUGCGAGCGUUGUUCGGAUUUACUGGGCGUAAAGCGCGCGUAGGCGGUGUGAUCAGUCAGCUGUGAAAGCCCAUGGCUCAACCAUGGACGUGCAGUUGAAACUGUCAGACUUGAGUACUGGAGGGGGUGGUGGAAUUCCCGGUGUAGAGGUGAAAUUCGUAGAUAUCGGGAGGAAUACCGGUGGCGAAGGCGACCGCCUGGUCAGAUACUGACGCUGAGGUGCGAAAGCGUGGGGA
rnacentral:rRNA from 1 species